rnacentral:lncRNA from 1 species
UAGUCGGUCAAACUCUAGAAACCUCUAGAAUUAGACACUCAGAAAAAAUUACUUCUUAUAAAAAACUCUUUUGAAUCCUUCUCAUGUAAAGGGUACGUCAUUUGGUCCCAAUUUUUUGAUCUCCAUUUCCAACCAGUCAACUAUCUUACCCUAUAUCAUGAAGGUGGUAAAAGUGAUCUUCUCAGCAGAACAUCUCAGGGCCUAGAAUACUUUCUCCAUUAUCUUCAACUAGCCUUUUGCUUCCAUAGGAUUAAAAGUUUCUAUGAAUGCUGGUGGGGCAUACUUCUUAAAGUCUAUCAAGUUGAUUUGAUGCUUUCGCUAGUUUCUAACUCUUUGCUAUUACCA